AAUAGAUACCCGGGUAGUCCACGCCGUAAACGAUGAGUGCUAAGUGUUAGAGGGUUUCCGCCCUUUAGUGCUGAAGUUAACGCAUUAAGCACUCCGCCUGGGGAGUACGGCCGCAAGGCUGAAACUCAAAGGAAUUGACGGGGGCCCGCACAAGCGGUGGAGCAUGUGGUUUAAUUCGAAGCAACGCGAAGAACCUUACCAGGUCUUGACAUCCUCUGAUAACCCUAGAGAUAGGGCUUCUCCUUCGGGAGCAGAGUGACAGGUGGUGCAUGGUUGUCGUCAGCUCGUGUCGUGAGAUGUUGGGUUAAGUCCCGCAACGAGCGCAACCCUUGAUCUUAGUUGCCAUCAUUAAGUUGGGCACUCUAAGGUGACUGCCGGUGACAAACCGGAGGAAGGUGGGGAUGACGUCAAAUCAUCAUGCCCCCUUAUGACCUGGGCUACACACGUGCUACAAUGGACGGUACAAAGAGCUGCAAGACCGCGAGGUGGAGCUAAUCUCAUAAAACCGUUCUCAGUUCGGAUUGUAGG
rnacentral:rRNA from 1 species